AUCCAGCUGACGAAGUCCCAAAUAGAACUAAACGCGCGUCCUGAAU
rnacentral:hammerhead_ribozyme from 1 species